rnacentral:tRNA from 2 species
ACCAAUAGUAUCAAUUGUUGCACUCGGAUUGUGGAUCCGGAGGUCGCUGGUUCGAUCCCAGCCAACGGUACCA